CUGCCUUAGAGGUCACAGGCAAAUCAAAGAAGAAGAAAAAGGAGACCAGACACCCCACUUUGGGACAAUACCUAUCAUAGGUCAUAAUCCACUUCCAUGGAGAUCUUCCAUUCUUGAGUGGACAAGAGAAAAAGGAUGAUGACACUCAUCCUUCCGUAGUGAUGGUGAAUUAUAGCAUGUCUGGAGUAAAACCUAAACACCACUUAU